AACGAACGCUGGCGGCAGGCCUAACACAUGCAAGUCGAGCGCGCCUUCGGGUGAGCGGCGGACGGGUUAGUAACGCGUGGGAACGUGCCCUUUUCUACGGAAUAGCCUCUGGAAACGGAGAGUAAUACCGUAUACGCCCUUUGGGGGAAAGAUUUAUCGGAGAAGGAUCGGCCCGCGUUAGAUUAGGUAGUUGGUGGGGUAAUGGCCUACCAAGCCUACGAUCUAUAGCUGGUUUUAGAGGAUGAUCAGCAACACUGGGACUGAGACACGGCCCAGACUCCUACGGGAGGCAGCAGUGGGGAAUUUUCCGCAAUGGGCGAAAGCCUGACGGAGCAACGCCGCGUGAGGGAUGAAGGCCUCUGGGCUGUAAACCUCUUUUAUCAAGGAAGAAGAUCUGACGGUACUUGAUGAAUAAGCCACGGCUAAUUCCGUG
rnacentral:rRNA from 1 species